GCCGCCAUAGCUCAGUCGGCUAGAGCGUGGGUCUAAUAAGCCCAAGGUCGCAGGUUCGACCACUGCUGGAGGCA
rfam:Angiostrongylus costaricensis strain Costa Rica genome assembly, scaffold: ACOC_contig0000143